rnacentral:lncRNA from 1 species
GUGCCAAAGAAGGAUAGAAUUUUUUUUAUGUAUGCCACAACAGCAGCAAGAAUUCUCAUUGCAAAGCAUUGGAAGACACAAGAUCUACCCACCUUGGAAGAAUGGCAGAUGAAGGUGAUGGACUAUAUGGAAUUGGCGGAAAUGACUGACAGAAUCCGAGACCAGGGAGAAGAGUCGAUGGAAGAAGAUUGGAAAAAGUUUAAAGACUAUUUACAGAAAUAUUGCAAAAUUAAUGAAUGUUAGAAUGAUGUUGGAUAGAAACUAAGUGGUCUUUAGCUGAAAUGUUAUAAG